GCUCAGGAUGAACGCUGGCGGCGUGCUUAACACAUGCAAGUCGAGCGAAGCACUUUGGAAAGAUUCUUCGGAUGAUUUCCUUUGUGACUGAGCGGCGGACGGGUGAGUAACGCGUGGGUAACCUGCCUCAUACAGGGGGAUAACAGUUAGAAAUGACUGCUAAUACCGCAUAAGACCACGGUACCGCAUGGUACAGUGGUAAAAACUCCGGUGGUAUGAGAUGGACCCGCGUCUGAUUAGGUAGUUGGUGGGGUAACGGCCUACCAAGCCGACGAUCAGUAGCCGACCUGAGAGGGUGACCGGCCACAUUGGGAUCUGAGACACGGCCCAGACUCCUACGGGAGGCAGCAGUA
rnacentral:rRNA from 1 species